rnacentral:lncRNA from 1 species
AUAGCAACAGCAGCGUAGCUGAACAUCUUACGGAUGGCCCAGGGCUCCAAAGGCUCGUUUCCUAAGUGAGAGAGAGCCUGGCUGAAGCUGUAUUACCAUUCAUUCUCCAGCCUCCGAAGUCUCAAAGCAUCACUUCCACCAUACUCUAACUGUCAAGACAAACACAAAGGCCCAGAAACUGCCAGACUGUCUUCUGAAGUGGCUAUAAUAUUUACACUCCCAUCAGCAGUGUAGAAGGGGUCUCACUAUGUUGUCUGGAGUGCUGUGGUGGAGUGGAGUGGCUAUUCACAGCUGAGUUUGCAGAGUAAACCACUACCCUGAAAUCUGGAAAGGCAGGUGCACCCACAGAUCCUCAGCUGAGAUCCAAUUACCUGAAAUAGAAGCUGCCAUUAGGAACACUUAAAAGAGCCUGUUCUGCUGGGACACAGAAUCACUUGCUCCAUCUCAUACAUUGAUGAUGAUUAAUUUGUAUGUGUACCUUCCAAAAAAGAUGGUUGUGUUUGAAUGGAGGCCUUCUGGACAGGAAAAUUGCAAAGUACAAUUAACAUUUGAGUCUGUCUGAGUCAUGAAGAAAUGGAGAUUACUGAAAAUAAUUCAUUUUGGUAUCUUCUUACAUCCUGAGAGACUAAUCUUUCCAAGUUCAUCUGAGGCUCCUCUUCUCCAUGACAACCUCAUCCAGGGAUUUCUUCCUGUCCUGGUGUUUUAUGACAUAAUCACAUCCUUCCUGAGAUAAUGAGCACACAAUUGCCUGGAUACCUGAAGGAAUGGAGACAGCGGCAGAAAACACUGCAGAGAGGUGGAAACAUCCGUUAAUAUUUUAAAAUCCCAUUACUGCUACCAACAAUAAUAAUGGAUGCAUAGAAAUAGAUCUGGAUUAGCUGAGCUUGAAACAGUCCAUCUCACACACACACAAAAGAAUUUCAGAUACAGUGAACCCACAUGUUGAAGCUUUCUAGUAUAAUAAAAAUUUCAACUGUUCUGUUGAAUCAUCUGCCUGAUUGGAGGCUACAGAAAAGAUGUCAUCUUAGGAGUGCUUGCUCUGAGUGAGGCUCAUCUUCAAAUCUGAAUGACCACAAGGAGAUUUGAUUAUACAUGUGAACACCUCAGAAGGCACAGCCCACCCAGAAGGCAGACAGGAGGAGACAGACACUAGAGCUCACCGGCUCGCCCUCUCACUCCUACUCAUCUGAGAAGGCAGCCAGCUAACCCUUCAGCCAGGAAGAGGGUCCUCAUCAGAACCUGGCCGUGGUGGCAUCCAGAUCUUGAACCUCCGGACUCCAGACUGUGAGAAAAUAAGUGUGUUGUUUAAACUA